rnacentral:SRP_RNA from 2 species
GCCGGGCGUGGUGGCGCGUGCCUGCAAUCCCAGCUACUCAGGAGGCUGAGGCAGGAGAAUCGCUUGAACCCGGGAGGCGGAGGUUGUAGUGAGUCGAGAUUGUCGCACUGCACUCCAGCCCGGGCAACAGAGUGAGACUCUGUCUCAA